UCCAGCCUCCGGCUCACAGCGUCCCCGGGGCAACAGCGAUGGCGGCCGCGCUGUCCGAGCGGCUUUUCUCGCUGGAGCUGCUCGUAGACUGGGUGCGCCUUGAAGCCGGGCUGCCGCCGCCGCCCGUGGUCGCGGCGGAGGAGCAGGAGGAGGAGGAGGAGGCGUCGCCGCCGCGGUCCUCGCGCGGCCUGUGCCCCGCCGUGGCCUUCCGCCUGCUGGACUUCCCCACGCUGCUGGUUUACCCUCCCGGCGGCCCCGCCGCCCCCGCCCCGGAACUUCGGCCGGGCCUGGUCAGCUUCGGUCGCGGCAAGUCCUGUCUCUUCCGCCUGCAUCCCGCCACCCUGCACCGCCUGCUCCUUCGGACUCCGCUUUACACCUUGCUGCUGCAGCUGCCCCCCGGGCGCCCGACCCCUGCCCCGCAGCUCCUGGGGGCCUGCAGCAUCUCUCUGGCCGCCGCGGCCCACAAGGUCCUGGGGCCCGCCGCCUCCGGCUGCUCCCAGGGUCAUCGGGGAAGUUUCCCUCUGCAAAACCAAGCGGGGGAGCGGAUUGGGCACAUUGCCCUGCGCUACCGCCUGACUGACCUGGGAAGCAGCUUGCUGGGCCAUCUGGAGAGGCCAGUCGCUUCCACAGGAGGUGGAGUGGAGGUCAGUCCCCAAACCUUGCAGGAAAACCAGCAGCUGCGGCAGCCAGACUCAGAGCCAAGCCCAAGAGAUGCUGAUAAGCCUCUGGUGGAUGUAAAAAUCUCAACGGCAGGGAAGGAUUUGAAGGAGGGAGUCUUCCACAGCAAGGCCAACUCUGAUUACACGGCUUCUCUGGAGAAUGGCAAAACCAACUGCGUUAUUUGUUCAAAGGGUAGCAGUGAGAGGAGUGUCAGCCCCCAAAAUCAGGAAGUCACAGAGUUAGACAUUGAAACCAACAUAAUUUGCCCUCCUCCUCUGUAUUACACUCAUGUGACCCAAGAAAAGACACCUCCUAAACAGGGUGAAAUCACUAUUGAGCCUCAAAUGAACGCACGUGAGGAAUUGGAUGGUACUUUUCCGGAAGAAAAACUUGUAAAUCCCCCAACACAUACUAAUCUUCCAGAACAUACAAAUUUUGCAACACGUGAGAGGCCUCCAGUGCUUACACAUCCUGCACAUAUUCAGGAUGUAGGAGCAAGCAACCAAACUAUUUACCAUCCUCAAACUGAACAAAAUAGGAUCAAUACUGUAAGGCAGCUGCCUUUGUUAAGUGCUUUGUUGGUUGAGUUGUCCUUGUUAUACAACCAACCCAUGGCAAGCCCUACUCAUAUACAUCCUCAUUUAGCCCGGUUAUAUAGAACUGAGGACGAGAAGUCACCAGAAUCUUCUGCCAAAUCCACAUGUAAAUCUGAAUCUAAGGAUAAGCUUUCUCUGGGGGAAAAUGAAAAGUCAGUGAGUCUUCAGUAUAAAAAGAACCAAACUGAAAAUCAUAAGAAAGGUAAAUAUUUUGAAAAGAAAGGUGGUGUCCCCCCCAAAAGAGUUCCAAGGGGGAAGCUACUUUAUGGCUUAACAAACACACUUAAGCUACGUUUAAAGCAAACAAAUCCUGAUAUGUUGAUAGUACACGAAAAGAGAGAACAGUAUAGAAAAAUGCAAGCACAAAUGUUAGGUGCAAAACUCAGAAUUCCAUCAUCCAAAGUUAAGAUACUAAGUUUUGCAGAACAACCUCAGAAGCCACAUCAACUGCCUAAAGAUAAGUUUUUAGACUCAGAUGCAUCUUUUGCUGAAAAUAGCAAUACCUCAAAGCAAAUUAGUGUAGUUUUUGAUGACCCCAGCACAACUAAAGAAACUAAACUGAAAUGUGCAACUGAAAAGACAGUUGAUGAUUUAUUGGAAGAAAUUGUGAGUCCUGCACAUUCCAUUGUCUCAGAAAGGUUUAUUCAUACAAAUAUUUUGGGUGGAAGAGUGGAAGUGAAAGUCCAAAGUCCAGGUGAUUUCCAACGGGUCGCAGUAGGUGACAGAAUUGUAGAAGAUAAAGAAAUAGAUGAUAAACAGGUCAAAAUCACUUCUAAUGACAUUCUUACUGCUGAUAUGAAUGAAAAUAAUCCAAGUACAAGUAGUUGCUCUGAAAGCAUCUCAGAACUAAAGUAUACAGAUGACUUCACCAGUCCUUGCUGUUCUGAAGACACCAGCAGAAUUUUACAAGCUCGUGAUAGCAGUCCGGGGACAGAAAAUCCAAAACAUAGUCAACAGACAAGUGAGUCCAGUGAAACAAGGUUGUCCAUAAGGAAAAAUAGCAGUGAAAAGAGUUCUCUUCUUAGCCCACCUUUUUCAGCUGGAUCCCCAGUACUCUCAUAUAAAAGAUUUCAUAUUUCAAAGGCUCAAGAUAAAAGUUUGGAGGAAGUGUCUACUAUCUCUAGCAGUGAUUUCUCUUCAUCACACUGGACUGAGGAAAAAGAAAACCAGAGAGACCAAAAUAGUAUGCAUAAUUCUAAAGUUCUAAAGAGGCAUCAAGACAUCCCUACUAAACGUAAAACAAGAACAGGUUGCAAGUCCUCAGAAAAAAGCCAGUCACCUUGGACAUCUCAAGAUUCUACCAUUAAAUCUGACAAGAUUGAUCAUGGGAUCACCUUAUAACCCAGACUUUUCACAGGUGACAAAUCUUGAGUCAGACUCCUGUGGUAUGGAAGGCUGAAUCAGGAAGCAGAGUCAAGCAAUGGUAGAUGCCCAUGGAUUCCUCCAUUGCGUCUCUGGUCCCAUCGGGUGAAGAAACUCGAGAUCCAUGGAGGUGACAGGGCCGGCCAAGGUGACACAGGAGCCCAAAGUAGAGGUUGAACAGUCAGCGAGGUCCGUGACAGGAGAGGGAAAUGUGGAUAUACUGCCCAAGGAGAACCCAGUUAAUACAUGGUAUAAAUUCUUUACAUGAUUUUUUAAAAAACCAGACUCCCUGGUUGCAACUUAAUCAGGAAUGUAUUGUGCACGCUGGGACGCUGAAGGUCAAGGCUGUGGAACUGCACUCCAGACAUCGCUGAUCCUGCCUCCUAAAGUACAGCCAAACCGAGGACGGUGUCACCGUGCAGAGGGAAGCCCAUUCCUGCCUCGGGGAAGGAAUGGGCUUCACUAACUUUCUCUAUAAUCAGUGUGGACCAACAGCAGACUAAAUGCUUUUAGUUCAAGGGGAGAAAUAUAAAGCAAGUGACCUUUGAUAUAUGGAAAUGCAGAAGGAAGAUCCCAGGAUCAAUCAUUCAAAACCACAGGUAGAUAGUGACCUAUUUUCUCUGUUCUAAGAGGAGCUGAGGACGGCACCCACCCCCUAAGCCUCUGGGAUGAGGGCGGCAUGACUUGAUAUACAUCAAAGUGCAUAGGGCAGUGCUGGGCAUAUGGUAAACGCUAAAUUUGUUAGCUGUCCUUGUCCUUAGGUUCCCUUAAAGAUAUGGGCACCCAGUUUGAGAAGCAUGGUGGUAGAAAAGUCUUCUAAAAGCACAAGUCUCCCCCAGGAUCCAGCAGCUCCAUGAUCGUACCUGUAGGAGAAUGAGAUCAAGCUAGACACACGGAACAUGUCUUCCUAUAACACCCAGCCCUUGAUCGCAUAAACAGUGCUCACCAUACAGCCGAGGAGGUGAAGUGAUUCACAGGUGUUCGUGUAAAAUGGCACAGUGCUGGAUCCUAGUGUGGAUUGUCAAGAAGAGGCGAGACCAAUAUAAAUAGACAGAAUACAUCCCAUGGGAAGAGUGAUGCAGCUAAAAGUGUGAUGUUGCAAAAUGAUCACAGGUUUUUAAUUUUAUUUGUAACAAUGUUACAUUUAAUUAAAUAUAUAAUUUAUAAAAAUCACUGGGAGGCCAGAUCUGAGUGAUACAUAAAAAGGAGAACAAAAUAUACCGUUUUUCAUGUGAAAGGCCAUCCUUUUCAAUGCCUCACAUCAGUUUAACAACCCCACGCUCCCUGGCCUCCAUUUUCUGGCUGAUCCUUCAUCCCGAUCUACAGACCAGAGAUUCAGCGAGGAAUGAAGAAACUUCACCCUUUUGUAAAAGCCCGUAA